GGGGGUACCCAUAAACUUGCAGCAUAAUUACAACAUUUGCCACUGAAGUCAACAUUUGACUCACAGAUACAUACAAUUCUGUAUGUAUACAAUCUGCUUUAUACGAUUCUGCUCCACGUGGCUCAUUCCCAGCCAUGUCUUCCUACUCUUCUUAUCUUACCUAAACUGAACAUUUGUAGGUGUAUUCAAUUUUGAAUUCAUAAGAACAUUCAAACACUUUAGCUUCCGAAAGAAGCCGCAUUUGAAAUUCAAACCAUACGAGCCAAACCCAGUUCCUCUUCUUCGACCCAAACUCAAACCUCAAAUUCUCUCUCUGCUGUGUCCCCCCUAGGGUUUCAAGCGCCGCUUCUCUGCCGGGAAAUCAGUCUUCCAAUUAAAUAUCUCUCUCUAUGGAGCUGGGUUUCAAGCGCUCUUUUUCUAGGGUUUCAAGCACUGGUUCGCCGCUGGGAACCAAUUCUCCGAUUAAAUAUCUCUCUCUCCGGAGCUGCUGAAUUCGUCCAGAAACUGUUCGAUUAUUUGUCCAAAUGAAAAGAAUAAUCAGGAGGCUAAUAAGGUGGCUUACAGGAAGCAUUGAUAGCUUAUAUAUGUUUUCUUAUUGUAGUUCUUUGACGCUAUUACAAAUAUAAAUUUUGAUGGUCAAACUAUUCCAAGCUGUGAAAAACUGAGGGAGGUUGUUUAAUAAGGUUCCUGAUUCGUGUGGGAUAAGAGGGGAGUCCUUGGCUAGGGCUGGCCCUUUAGGAUUGAGGGAGAAGGAGAGUUGUUACUGAACAGAAUGAGAGAGAGAGAUUGUUUGGGAUUUGAAGAAACCGUGAUUGUUUGAUUCUAAUACUGGACUAUAGUGUUCUGCUAUAUUUCUACUAGAGAUUCAUUUGUCCCUGUGCGUGUUGCAGGUUUUGAGGAAUUUUACUACCAAAGCUGCUCCUCCCAGAAAAAGAGAGUUAGAGGAAAACCAGAGUUCAUGGCUCAAGAGGUGUAUGAAGAGUUCAUAGCUUUACGAUUUCAGGUUCCAAUGGCAGUGGUCGGUCCUGGACUGAGUACCUGGAAUCAAAUUACGCAAGGAUGCCCGUGACAGCUCUGAGACCCCUGAUUAAGGUUGUCGAUAAUAAAGACAGCAUUGAGAUCUUCAUUUGUAGGGUCAGGCAGUGGUAGCUGAUAGGUAGUCACCCCAUUAUCUUACAUGUUUACCCUACAUAUUACACAAGUGUUCUGUUAAGAAUGUCUACAGAGACUAGAAAUUAGUCUGGGAUUAGACAACACAUCAUGUCCUUGCUGUAGUAUCUGAUGAAACAUGCACACGAGUGGCAUCAUACUCUUGCUGCUUUUUAAUUCAGGACAGAUAUUCCCAGUGCUGGCAGCCAAAAUUCUACGAAAUUCAAAUUCUUUUUCUUUAUCAGAAGUGCAAUUUUAUCAAAUUUCUGCAAUACUAGGCAAAUAUCAUGAUGUUCACUGCGUUGGAACACCAGAGUUCAUGGCUCCGGAGGUGUAUGAAGAGCAAUACAGUGAAUUAAUGGAUAUAUAUGCAUUUGGAAUGUGCAUUUUGGAAAUGGUCACCUUUGAAUAUCCGUAUAGUGAAUGCUUUUACGCUGCUCAGAUAUGCAAGAAAGUUGUAUCUGGCAAAAAGCCUCUUCAUACAAAGUCAAGGAUCCUGAGAUAAGAGAAUUUAUUGAGAAGUGUUUAGCCACUGCAUCUUGCAGGCUCCCUGAAAGGAACUCCUUAAUGAUCUGUAUCUUCAAUCAGAGAUUAAAGUCGGAGCUUCUUACUUCUAAUCAUCCACUCCUAAAAAGGGUUCUAAUAACAGUGGAAGGAAUAGUUAGGCUUAGAAGCUCUCAGAUCCGAAGCCUCUAGCUGGGUACUUUGUCAUUACUUGCAACUUCCUAACAGACAAGAAGCUGAUAAACUAAUAUACACAGUACACACUUACUUACAUAUGUAUGCAUGUAUGUGUUUGGUAGGUUUGUUCUUAUUGUCUUCCCUCUGCAUCUGGUCACUAAAACAUGUCAGGCUUUUUACUCUUUUUACAGAAACAGCCUAGAAGAGAGAGAUUAUAACAGAUAAAGGUGCUAUGCAAUGAUUCUGUACGCUGGACCAUGAUCAUUAAGAAUUCUUUGAGAGAAAGCUGGGGAGAAGAUGGAUACUACAAGAUCUGUAGAGGCCAAACCACAUUUGCGUGGUGGAUUCUAUGGUGUAUACAGACUACAGUAGCAGCAUGUCAAUAUAUUUCAGAGUAUACCCUAAAUUAAGCAUGCAUCUGUCACUUAUUGGGGGGUAUCUGUUACUUGCAAUAGGACCAUUUGUAAUUUGUUCCAAGCUGACAUUGAUUUUCUUACCAUAGACAAUACAAAGACAGACACAAAUAGUUGCUCUUCUUGGAUAUGUAGUUUUGGGACAGAAGUAAUAAGUGAAUAGAUUUUUCGGUUCAGUCUGUAA